GAUGAAGAACGUAGCGAAAUGCGAUAAGUAGUGUGAAUUGCAGAAUUCAGUGAAUCAUCGAAUCUUUGAACGCACAUUGCGCCAUUUGGUAUUCCUUAGGGCAUGCCUGUUCGAGCGUCAUUUAAACCUUCAAGCUCAGCUUGGUGAUGGGUGACUGUCCUCCCCUCGCGGGGGGACUCGCCUCAAAAACAUUGGCGGCCGGUACAUUGGCUUCGAGCGCAGCAGAAACGCGGUCUCGAAUCCGGUGGAUCGGCUCCCAUAAGUCUAUUCUUUUAUUUUGACCUCGGAUCAGGUAGGGAUACCCGCUGAACUUAAGCAUAUCAAUAAGCGGAGGA
rnacentral:misc_RNA from 1 species